AUUUGCCUAAAAUGGAUUUGAUCCACCAAAUGCCUUUGGUGUCUUGGGAUCCUUCUUCUGCCCCUGGUGGUGGCGGAUCACUCUGUGGAGUCUUGUGGAGUUUGCUCACAUCAUAUCCUUCGUCAAUGGCUUUCUGAACAAGAAAAUUGUAGAUAUCUUCAUCCAAAUGGGUUUUUCUGCAUAAAAUCUACAAUUCAUAAUUCACCAACGUUAGCUCAGCAAAAUCAAAUUAACACCAAGCUUUUUAAACUAACUGUAGCAGCAAUGCCAACACAUAACUUUCAACUUAUCAGUAUCAGUUUGCAGUAACAUUCUGAAUUGGUAAAGCUUCAACCUCAGUAAUGUCUUGAAUUCAAGACCCAUUACUCAAAACAAGAAUACCCCAUUUCCCAUUCUUCUCAAUAUUCAUUUAAAGAUAAAAAAACAUAAAUCUUUGACAAAACUUUAUCCUCAUUGUUUCUCUUUCAAAUACAAAACCACCUUUUCAGCACAAAACCCUCUGUCAUAGAACUUUAUGCUCGGAACUAAUACUGUCCAAUAUUAAACACAUUUUUUAUUUCCUAAUGUGGAUUUUGAAGAAACCAGUUACCAAGCAAAUCAUGGAAAAAAAAAAAGGGUCGAGGAAGAUUAUGGUUUUCGCUUUUACAUUCGAAGAUCAGCCUAAGAUCAUCACAACAACCACCUUCAAAUAUAAAGAAAAAUCACAAGAGUUUUGCAAAGUUAAAUACAAACUUAAAAUGAUUCGUACUAUCGACUUAAUAUAGUUACUAACACCAUAUCGAUCAGCAGAACACAGUAGAAAAACAGAGACAAGAAAAAAAUAAAUAGCAACAGAAGUUAAAUAGGUUUACUUACCCAAAGGUAAUUCCUGCUUGGUUGGCCGAUCAAAGCAUACUGAUAAUCGUCAUCAAUGUAGAGGACCCAGUAGUCCCCAGUGACAGGGAAGAGGGGCAAGAAAGGUGGAACAUAGAAUUUUACCUUUAACUUGGCUUCGUCAGAUUUUGGGUCUGCCUUGUAAGCAGUACCCUCUAUAUAGCCUCUCUUUCCAUUAGACCAAGUCUCGUUGAGUACAUGCACAGUACCAUCUUUGUUAAGGGUAUAUGUGGCUCUGCUGUUCACACCAUCCUUUGGCUGAUUACGCGAAGGGAAUGAGCCAAUCUCGUACCAUCGACCCAUGUACCUUUCCAAGUCCAAACCUUUCACAACUUUCAUCUCUUCCUUCGCCAUUACCACCUUAUAAUGGGAAGUAACACGACACAGAGAUCAAACAAACGAUGAUUUUCUGGGUACUCUCAAGUUGUGCCCUUUUAUGAAGUUUCUGAUAAGUGUGUCUAUACAUACAUUCGACAGAGGAAACUUGUUUAACAAUUCUAGGAUAAGCCUAGACAUAAUAAUAUCUAUAAUUAUUGUAAUGGCUAUGAUUGCAUCAUUUCUUUUUUUAGAAGUAUUUUUAGGAAAAUAUAAAACCUUAAUCAUGAUAAAUCUAAUUGGUAGUUAACGUUGUAUAUGAAAAUUUUGUUUAAAUUUUAUGAAUUUAUAUGUCACAAUUUAAAAUAUUUAUUUUUGUCUCUCGUGUUUGAUGCCAUCAACUUUAUUAGAAGCUUAUUUAGAACACUUUAAGGUGAAAAAUUGGCAUCAUAGAUAUUAAUUUUGUUUAAAUAAUAAUAUUUAUCACUAUUAUCUUAUUUAAAGUGUGUAUACAGACUUUUCUAACUCAAUUGUGGGUUUCUUGUUUUUUUUUUAUAUAUAUUGUCUGUUUGGAAUCUUGGAAAAUACAGCCUCGUUAAAUUUUGGCUUAUUACUCCUAUGAUUUUUAUUUUCGUGAAGUGUAUUCAUUUUGGUUUAAUGUUUAAUGUUAUUCUAAAAAGAAUAAAUUUUGUUUAAUUUGAUCUUUUUUUUUGUUAACACUGUUUAAAUGAUUAAAUAGUUAACACAGAUAAUUCAGGUGUGCAUAAUAAUAUUGAGAUAGUAUUUAAUUACUGUCAUGCCACAAAAAAUAGAGUUUCGUGCCCUAUCUCAAAAUUAGGAUUUUGCAAACCUUCUCCAUAACAUAUUUAAACAAAAUUUCCAUUCUUUAAAACAACAUUGAAAAAAAAAAUACGCACUGGAUCAUUAAACAUAUUAAGCCUUAAAUUUUCUAGUAAUUUCCAAAGUCGGCAUGUGUAAGCUUAGUUUUUAUUUUGAAAUGCUUAUUUUGAUUUUAAAAUAUAUUUUCAUUUAUUUAAACUAGACCUUAACAUUAUAAAUUGCUUUUAAAAUUAUACCAGUAUGUAUAGACAACAACAAAAAAAACAAAUGGUUAAGUGGUUAAUUUUUUUUCAAAUAUAAAAGAAUAAAUUUGAUGAAUUUAUUUCUAAGAAUAUAGUUUAGCAAAUAAUAACUUUAAAAGUAGAUAUUUUUUCUUGUCUGAAAGUCGUGGAAGUGUUUGGACCACGUAUUCCAUCAUAUAGAACACUCUAGUAUUCUCAAAGGCUUUCUUCUCUCUUUCAAUUAUUUCUACUCUUUAUUAAUUUUAAACCCUAUAAUUCUUUUCCUUUCCAUUUUAACAAAAAAAGAAGGUUAAGAGUGUUUUUCUAUGUGAUUAUUUUAAUUAUUCUCAGUAAUAAAAUAUAAUACAAAUAUUUUCAUAUUUUCUAAAAAGGAAUGAUUUAUUAAUUAGGGUUUUAUUCUUAUAAUAAAAUAUUAGAAUAUUACUUUACAUUGAAGUAGAAGUUACCCAAACACAAUUUUUAUCAGCUUUUUUCUGCAGAUUGUUUUAUACGACGGUUUCAAAUAGUUCAAUUGACAUUUUCUGUUUUUCAUUUAUUUCUAUAUUAUCAUUUUCUUCUUAAUAUAAUUUUACAAUAAAAAUUAUAAUGAAUUUAAAUAUAAUUUCAUCUUUAAUAAUAAUAAUAUAAUUUAUUUUCUUUAUCAAACACGUGAAAAAUAAAAUACAAAUUUCAUAUACUUAUAUAUUAAAAAUUUAUAAUGCCACAUUAAACAAUAUUGAUACUCAACAUUUAAUUAUGGACAUAAUAUUCAUAAUUUUUUUCAUGUUCAAAAAAUAAUUUAAGCAGUUAGUAAGUUGAGGUAAAAGAUUAACUAAGAUCAGUGUUAAUAUGUUUUAUUUAUAUUUUACGAUUCUAAAUUUUUUUAAACGCUAAAGUAUUUAAAUUUCGUAUGUUUAAUACUUUUAAAAUAUUUAUUUUUUGAAAAGUCUUGAAAUAAAAUUUCAAGACCAAUUGAUUUGAGUUGAAAUUUCUAAAUACUAUUGGGUUUUCAAUUAGGAUUUGAGUUCACCAUUUAGAAAUACAAAAGAAUAAAAGUAUUUGAAAUUAUGAAAUUUUACAGACAAUUAAAACUUGAAAUUUAUAACAUUAUGUAUUUAUUAUGUCCACAUGUUAAAUGGACGAAUUAUAGUAUCCAUACUUAUAAUAACCUAGUACCUCUUAGUCUCUACUUUACUAAAAUACCCUCUUUUACACACACACACACACACACACAUAUAUAUAUAUAUAUAUAUAUAUAUAUAUAUAUAUAUAUAUAUAUAUAUAUUAAAAAAUAGUGAGUGAUCUAAUUCACAUUGUUGGUGAGUGACCUGGUUCACAUUGUUGGAGAAAAUUUGACAUAUAUCUACAUUGGAGAGAUAAUGUCUCCUUCAGAUCAAAGUUUCAAAGUUUAAUUUUGAUAUUAUUUUAAAAUAUUUUUUAUCAAUCAAGAUAUUUUAUGUAUAUAAAUUUAUAUCUUUUUCUAACCGAAUUGGAAUUUUGUUAGUAUCCAAAAUAUAUCUAGUCUCAAUUUUUAUAAACUUUUAUAUAGAUUUUUUAAGAUUUUAAUAACAAUAAAGUUUUUAUAACUUUAUAUAUUUUUAUAUAUUUUAAUAUAAUUCUUUUAUAAAUUUUUAAGGUUAAAAUAUUUUAUUAAAUAUUUUUAGAAUUGUUUUAUAAAUAUCUACAAAUAUUAAAAAGAAUGUAAAUAUCCACUUUUAUAUAUAUAUAUAUAUAUAUAUAUAUAUAUAUAUAUAUAUAUAUAUAUAUAUAUAUAUAUAUAUAUAUAUAUAUAUAUAUAUAUAUAUAUAUAUGCUUGAAUAUGAGAACAAGUAUAAAACAAAUAUUUAUCGAACGAAAAGGAUAAAAAGCUACUAUCUAUAUCUAUUCCCUACCCACUCCCGGGACAUUCCAAAUCAAUCUGAUAUAAAUUCGAUAUAAGUAAAAACAAAAUUCUCGCAAAUUUUUAUUAUUUUUAAGAAAACAAUUAUAAUUUACGUUAAAUCUUUUUUUACAUUGUAAAAGACAAAAAAAUAGUAAACGUAAAAAAUCUUAUUUAUGGUAAUAUAUUUAACUGAGAUUUAAUGUCUAGUAUUUAUCUAGAACUAAUUCAAUUUAAUAAAAUUAUUCUUUUGUAAAUAACAUGUACUAAUUACUCAUGUUCAGAAAUAUUGAAGUUUAAAAUUAAAAUUAAGCAUGGUUUGAGUCGUUUCUUAUAAAGAUCAAUUUUUCCUUGCUAAGAUGCUAAGAGAGUUGAAAAAAUAUGAUUCAUACCAUAACUUCUGCAAAGGUCUAAAAAAUUCACUUUCAAAUUCUCCAUCAUGAUUUGUAUUCUUGAAUACAAAAUUUAUAUUUUAAAAUGUAAAUUACAAAAACACAAAAGAUGAAAGUGUAGAAAAGAUUUACUUGUCUGAAUUUAUAAAAAAUGACAGAGCAAAGAUUAAUCUAAAAUUUAUAGUGAUGGGCCAUAAAUUUAAUUUAUUUUUAUCACAAAGAACGUUUAUACAAUCUUAUAUCAUCACCAAAAUUGUUAUAUGUCACCACAUUUAGUGAAAGAAAAAUUAGUAGAGUUGAAGCAUAUGAAAAUUUGCAUAGAUAUAUAAUCUCAAACAUGCAGAACUGCUUUUAGUUAAAAGAGAGUUUGAAGUGAGUAGUUCAUACUUAAUUUGUUCAAAAUUGUAGAGUUACUUUGGAGUUUGAUAUCUUUACUUACAUAGAUUUGACUUGUAACUUCAACAUCAAAACAUUUACACCCCAACGUUUAUGUACAAAUCAGAGAGCAACCAAACACACACAUCCAUGCUAUAAAGGGAUAUUCAAUCUUUCAGAAUACACAAUACAUGAAAUUCAAAUUCAUUUUAAACAAGGAAAAAAUCUUUUUAACAAUUUUUUUUUUUACAACUUUUUAAUAAUAUAUACGUGACAAUUUAUGAUUGGUCCAUUUUAAAUAUUUAUUUAGAAUAAAUUCAAACAGAUCAAUAAAAUAGUGACAUAUCCUGUUGUUAAAAAAUUUAUUAAAGAAAAGUUAUUAAAAUACCAUUAUUCUAUAAAUAAACUCUAUUUGCCAAAAAGGGAUUUGAACCACCAAAUGCCUUUGGUGUCUUGGGAUCCUUCUUCCGCCUCUGGUGGCGGAUCACUCUGUGGAGUCUUCUGGAGUUUGCUCACAUCAUAUCCUUCCUCCUUCGCUUUCUCAACAAGAAAAUUGUAGCUCUCUUCAUCCAAAUGGGUUUGCCUGCAUAAAAUCUACCAUUCAUAAUUCACCAACGUUAGAAAAUGUCUAGAAUUCAA
rnacentral:lncRNA from 1 species